rnacentral:rRNA from 1 species
AACGAACGCUGGCGGCGUGCCUAACACAUGCAAGUCGAACGUGAACGGGGGCAACCCCUAGUAAAGUGGCGUACGGGUGAGUAACGCGUAGGUAAUCUACCCCAGAAUCUGGAAUAACCGGCCGAAAGGCUGGCUAAUACUGGAUAGAGCGAUGGAAUCCGUAAUUGGGUUUUUCGGGAAAGGGGGCCGCAAGGUCUCUCGUUUUGGGAUGAGCCUGCGUCUCAUUAGCUAGUUGGUGGGUAAUGGCCCACCAAGGCAUUGAUGGGUAGCUGGUCUGAGAGGAUGAUCAGCCACACUGGAACUGAAACACGGUCCAGACUCCUACGGGAGGC